AUCAAAACAAAACAAGCCACUCACAACCCAAAGCACAGGACUCUGAAACUCCGAGGCUUUAACGCCCACUCUCACUUGCUACCACUCAUUUGACCAGGUUCUAGUUUUGGUUCCAAGGUCGCUAGGCUACGGAGAGGACCUUUUUUCUCAACCCAAAACCAGGACUCUUCCAGACCAUCCUCAUCACUAAAUAAUUUCUGCCCUCCUAGCACACAGGAUCAGGGUAGAAAAGUCUGCUGCUACUAGAUCCAAGUUUCAUGACAAGAAAGAAAGUGUGAAAUCCUUCUGAUGUACUCCUGGUUGAAGUAUCUGCAGGGCCAAGGUCAAGUGCUUCCUUCUUUCACUCUGCCAUAGCAAACUAGCUGGGGCCUCUCUUGCAGACAAACUGUCUCAGACCAACAAAAUGGAAAACUGCCACAACUCAUGGGCUCCCUUUGUAGUCAAACGGGUUUACUGUAUCCAGGGCAUACUAUGUGUAAAGUGGGAAUUCUUAGAAUCUGUUUCCCAGUUUCUUUUAUAAAGUAAAUUAAGUGAUAUCCAAAAAUGAAA